CCUACGGGAGGCAGCAGUGAGGAAUAUUGGUCAAUGGCCGGAAGCCUGAACCAGCCAAGUCGCGUGAAGGACGAAGGUGCUAAGCAUUGUAAACUUCUUUUGUCAAGGGACAAAAUCAGGCUCGAGUGCCUGUCCGAGGGUACUUUAAGAAAAAGCAUCGGCUAACUCCGUGCCAGCAGCCGCGGUAAUACGGAGGAUGCGAGCGUUAUCCGGAGUUAGUGGGUUUAAAGGGUGCGUAGGCGGGCUUUUAAGUCCGCGGUAAAAAUUCGGGGCUCAACCCCGUCCGGCCGUUGAAACUGGGGGCCGUGAGUGGGCGAGAAGAAGGCGGAAUGCGUGGUGUAGCGGUGAAAUGCAUAGAUAUCACGCAGAACCCCGAUUGCGAAGGCAGCCUUCCGGCGCCCUACUGACGCUGAGGCACGAAAGUGCGGGGAUCGAACAGGAUGAGAUACCCGAGUAGUC
rnacentral:rRNA from 1 species